GCUACACAUGCAGUUCGAGCGGUAGAGAGAAGCUUGCUUUCUUCUUGAGAGCGGCGGACGGGUGAGUAAUGCCUAGGAAUCUGCCUGGUAGUGGGGGAUAACGUUCGGAAACGAACGCUAAUACCGCAUACGUCCUACGGGAGAAAGCAGGGGACCUUCGGGCCUUGCGCUAUCAGAUGAGCCUAGGUCGGAUUAGCUAGUUGGUGAGGUAAUGGCUCACCAAGGCGACGAUCCGUAACUGGUCUGAGAGGAUGAUCAGUCACACUGGAACUGAGACACGGUCCAGACUCCUACGGGAGGCAGCAGUGGGGAAUAUUGGACAAUGGGCGAAAGCCUGAUCCAGCCAUGCCGCGUGUGUGAAGAAGGUCUUCGGAUUGUAAAGCACUUUAAGUUGGGAGGAAGGGCAUUAACCUAAUACGUUAGUGUUUUGACGUUACCGACAGAAUAAGCACCGGCUAACUCUGUGCCAGCAGCCGCGGUAAUACAGAGGG
rnacentral:rRNA from 1 species